rnacentral:rRNA from 1 species
CAGCCGCCGCGGUAAUACGAAGGGGGCUAGCGUUGCUCGGAAUUACUGGGCGUAAAGGGCGCGUAGGCGGACAGUUAAGUCGGGGGUGAAAGCCCGGGGCUCAACCUCGGAAUUGCCUUCGAUACUGGCUGUCUUGAGUACGGGAGAGGUGUGUGGAACUCCGAGUGUAGAGGUGAAAUUCGUAGAUAUUCGGAAGAACACCAGUGGCGAAGGCGACACACUGGCCCGUUACUGACGCUGAGGCGCGAAAGCGUGGGGAGCAAACAGGAUUAGAUACCCGAGUAGUCCCUGUCUCUUAUAA